AACAAGAGAUUAAAGAAGCUGCAGUUGGCCUGGACACUUUGUAUUUUGAUUAAUUAACUGAAUUUACAAUAAAUUGUGUGGACAAACAGGGCUGUCACUCUCUUGAGAUGAUCAGUGGAACUCUGUUUGCUGUGACCCUGUAUCUCUGUGUUACUUUGGACUGACACAAUAGUCAAUUGACUUGGGCAAUCACACUGAACUGUGGAGGAAAUACAAACCAGCCAAUAGGGAUCCUUACCAAUGAAGGUGAGAGAGAGUUACCAACUGAUCCAAGUCCCACCAUUUCCCAGCUGUUCCAAGGAUGAACAAUAGUGCGCAAUAAACUGGAGUUUUCACCAUCUACAGAACAAAGAGAGGGAACGCCAGUAGGAAAUGUGGUUUUGACAAUUUGCCUGAAAUAGGGGUUGCCUUUUCUGAACAUCAGCUGCAAACUGAGCCCAGGAAACAGAAAAGGGGAAGCAACAUUUACUUUACAGAGUGGCAUCUCUCUGUUCCCAAAAUCACAGGAAGCCAUUGGGCCCAUUGUUUCAGCACUGGCUUUCUCAGCACUUUGGCGUAGUGCCAAUUGACUUGCCUUUUCCCCUUCAACCUGCACAUCAUUUUGGUUUGAAUAAUCAUCCAAUACUGUUGGAUGUUAAAUACCUCAUUUGGAGCUUUAGACCACAAGACAUAGAAAGAGAAUUCAGCCAUUUUGCCCAUCAUGCCUGUUUCACCAUUCAGUGAGAUCAUGGCCGCUCUGAUAGCCCCCAUCUCUACUUUCCUGCCUUUUCCCCAUAACCCUGGAUUCCAUUCCUGAUUGAAAACAUAUAUCUCUAAACUUAAAUAUAUUUCAUGACUCAGCCUUUGACAGCCCUCUGAAGUAAAAAUAUUCCUCAGAUUCACUUCCUCUGAAAGAUGAAAUUCUUACUCAUCUCCAUCUUAAAACACAGACCCAUUCCUAUGAGCUUUUGUCCUCUGGUCCCAGACACUCCCACAAAGGGAAACAACCUUCUUUUCAUAUUCAUCUUGUCAAGGCCCAAAGAAACUGAGAUGUUUCAAACUUGCUUUUCAUUCUAAUCUCUAAACCAGGAGAAGUCCCUCUCCUUACUCUUAAAGUACCAGGCACAAUUCUGAUAACUGUGUAAACAAAGAUUUUGUUGAACUAUAAAGCGUAUAGAUACUAUUUACAUGGAUGUUGGUGGGAUUCGAGAGUUUAAGUUAAAAGGUGGUACUGGGGCUAUUUUCCCUGCAAUCUAGAAAGCUAAGGGGUGACCCUUUACAGGUUUUUGAAAUUAUGAGGGAUGCAGAUAAAGUGGAUAGCUAAGGUCUUUUGCCAAAGGUAGGAGAGUCCAAAACUAGAGAGCAUAUUUAUAAGGUGACAAGGAAAAGUUUGAAAAGAGACCUGACGGACAAGUUCUUGACACAGAAGGCGUUGCACAUGUGGAACAAACUGCCAGGGGUGGUUUUAGAGGUCAGUACAAUUACAUUUUUAAAAAGACAUUUGGAUGGGUCCAUGAAUAGAAUUGUUUAGAGAGAUAUGGGCCAAACAUGAGCAAAUGGUAUUAAUUCAGUGAAGCUUAGCUGAUCAGGAUGGACAAAUUCCAUUGAAGGCUCUGUUUCCGUGCUGUAUGACUCUAUGACUCUAGGAACGAAGUGGGUAACUGUAGGUUAAUUCACCCCACAUCUAUUGUUGGAAAUGUAUUUAAAUCAAUUGUUAAGAAAGUAGCAGCAAAACAUUUACAAAAACAUAAUCUAAUAAAGCAGAGUUGGUGUGGCUUCAUGACAGGGAAAUCCUGUUUGACUAAUUUCAGGGAACUUUUUAAAGAAACUUUCACCAGCAUGGAUAGUGGGGAACUGCUGUUGUAUUUGGACUACAAGGGACCUCACAGAAAUUUAAGACAAAAGAUGAGCCCAUGGUAUUGGAGGUUCUAUACUAGUAUGGACUAUCGAGGAUUGAUCAAAGGGCAGCAAACAAGUUCAUGUUGAUGAUACAUGUCCAAUGGGGUUCCAUAGGCUCACUGCUCAAACCACAACUGUUUACAACACAGAUUACUGAUUGGGAAGAAGGAAGUGGAUGUACUGUAGAAAUAUUUCCAGACGACACAAAAUAGGUGGAAAAGCAGAUUGAGAGAGGAAUAUAAACAGUUCACAGAGAGGUGAUGGUAGGUUCAGUUGGUAAGCAAAAAGCUGGCAAAUGGAGUACAACGAAGGGAAAUGUGAAGUUUGGAAGAGAGAACAAUGGAAAAAAAACUACUUAAAUGAAUAAAAGCUGCUGAAAGCCAGCACAUGGGGCAAGUAGGUAAUCAGGAAGGCAAAUGGAAUGCUGAUCCUUAUUUAGAUUAGAUUACCUACAGUGUGAAAACAGGUCCUUCAGCCCAACAAGUCCACACUGACCAUCUGAAGAGUAACCCACUCCCCUCUGACUAAUGCACCCAACAAUUAUGGACAAUUUAGCAUGGCCAAUUCACCGAACCUGCACACCUUUGGAAUGUGGGAGGAAACUGCAGUACCCAGAGGAAACCCACACAGACACUUGCCCCAGGCUGGAAUCGAGCCAAGGACCCUGGUGCUGUGAGGCAGCAGUGCUAACCACUGAGCUACCGUGCCAACCUAGUAGAAGACCCGAAGCGAGAAUCAUACCUCUAGACCAACAAGCCGCAUAUUUGAAGGGGGUUAGAUUGUAAGAGCAGGGAGGUCUUAUUGCAGUUGUACAAGAUGUUGGCGAGACUAUGUCUGGAAUACUGUGAGCAAUGUUGGUUCCCUUAUUAAAUGAAAUACACCAUUUCUUUAUGAUUCAGCGAAAAUUCAGAAUAGGUUUACAAAUAUGAUCCUGGGUUUGGAGUGAUGGUCUCAUGGACAAAGGCUAAACAGGUUGGAACAUUUAUUUAUAAAUGAGGAAAAUGAGAGAUGAUCUCAUUGAAGCAUAUAAGAUCCUUGAGGGUAAAUGUUGAGAGGGCGUUUCCCUCAUGGGAGAGCUAAGGACCUGAGGACAUGGUCUCAGGACAAAGGGGCACCAAUUUAAAACUGAGAUAAGGAGAAUUUCUUCUCUCAGAGGGUUGUGAGUCCUUGCCCCAGAGAGCUGAGGGGCAGAGUCCUUGUGUUUAUUUAAGGCUGAGAUAGAUUCUUGAUCAGGUGGGGAAUCGAGGAUUCUAGUGAAAUUGCAGUAAAGUGGAUGUGAGGAAUGUCAGUUCAGUCAUGAUUCUAUUGAAUGGUGGAACAAGUUCAUGGGGCCAAAUGGCCUACUCCUGUUCCUGACUCUUAUGUGCAACCUAUUCAAGAAUUUCUACUCUCCCGAGAAAAAAGGGCAGUUUUAUAUUUUCCAACAUUAUACUCCAUUUGCCACGUUUUGCCCAUUCACUUCACCUCUCUCUCUCUCUUUCUCUCUCUCUCCACCCCACUUUCCUUCUUCUCUUGGUGUCAUCAUCAAAUUGAUCUCCCAUCCAGAAUCAGAGGUUGCUGUGCUGGAGUCUCUCAUUCUUCACCCAGAACGGUGUUCUUUCAAAUCCGUGCUGGAUCUCCUCCUCUAUCUCCCCUGAAGUGGGAUGGAAUAUUUCUGGACAAGAAGACAUAACCUUCCAGUGGAACUCACCCUGACUCACUAACUGAGAUGUAGGUCCCACAGACUGACCCUGGGACCAUCACUGUUCUCUACUCGGAGCUGGAGGGGCACAUCUUGUGACCCUCACAUUUGUCUCCAAUCUGGUCAGUUUACCUUAUUUCCUUUAGCCACCCUGUAGCUGUGGGAAAGACUGAACAAUCAGACUGCUGUUCAUUUAUUGGCAUUUUUUUAUUUUGAAGGUAUAAAUCCUCCAGUUCUUCUCUAGUCUCUGACACUGGAACGUGUCACCAAGGGUCAUACUGCCUGGUUACAGUGCACCAUGAGGAACACCGCACUGACACACACCAAUGUUCACUGGGACUGGAAGCAACCAGGAAAUAACAGAGUUUUAACAAAUGACAUGAGGAACAACACACAAUGGAGCCCAGGAUUCACUGAGCGAUUCCAGCCUUCCAGAGACCCCUCCAAUAACAGCUUCAUUCUGACCAUCAUAAGCAUGCAGGUCAGGCUGGUACUUGUUGUCUAUCAUGAAUGGUCCUUGAGAAGAAAUGUCUUCACCCAGAGAGUGGGGAACCUGUGGAAUUCUCUGCCUCAGGAAGCAGUUGAGGCCAAAAUAUUGAAAGUUUUCAAGGAGUUAGAUAUAUCUAAUUGGGAUCAAGGGAUCAAAGGGUAUGGGGAGAAAGCAGAAGAGGGAGCUGAGUUGGAUCAUCAGCUUCGAUUAGGUUGAACAGUGGUGCAGGCAUAAUGGACUGAAUGGCCUACUCCAGCUCUUAUUUUCUUAAUUUUGAAAAGGUGAUGAUGCACUGUCUUCCUGAAAUGCUGUGUUGAGACUUUUUAUCCAGUGACAUAAAAGGAAUGAUGAUGAUGUAUUUCUAUGACAGG